rnacentral:rRNA from 1 species
AGGGUGGACGCCGCCCUUAAGAAAAAAAAGAAAUCCCUCCUUACGGAGUUUGAUAUUUUAGAUGUGAUGUUUGAGUCCCAACAACUGUCUGUUGCUGACUUUGAUAGAAUGAGAAACAUUAAGAAAGAGCUGGAGGAUAUCUGGAGAAAGGAGGAGAUUGCCCUUUGGCAAAGAUCUAGAGAUAGGAAAAAAUUAUAAGAGGAUCGUAAUAAUGCCUAUUUUCAUGCCCUUGCUAAUCACAGACAUGGGAAAAAACACCUCACUGAGUUGGUUAGUCCUUCUGGGGUUGUGACUUCCACUAGUGAUAUGCUUGAUGUUGCUACCUCUUUCUACAAAAAAUUGUUUGCUUUUGAACCUAAACUUGACAUCCAUCUAGAUGCUGGGUUUUGAUCUGAAGAAGAGAUGGUCAAUGAAUAUGAGAGAGAGAUAUUAGAAAGACAUUUUAAGGAAGAGAUUAAACAGGCUAUUAUGAGCUCCUAUGCUAGUGGAGCUCCUGGUCCUGAUGGUCUUUCCUUUCUGUUAUACCAAACUUUUUGGGACCUGAUUAAGGAUGACUUUAUGUGGAUGGUUAGAGAUUUUGAGAGUGGUAUUCUAGUCAUGUACAAACUUAAAUUUGACAUUAUCAUCCUCAUACCUAAAGUCCCUCAUGCCAGGGAUAUGGAAAACUUCAGACCUAUUAGUUUGAUUAACUGUACUGUUAUUUUUUUCCCAAAGCUAUGA